AACGUAGGAGACAAACGUUAUCCGGAGUUACUGGGCGUAAAGGGCGUGUAGGUGGUUUCGUAAGUCUGGCGUGAAAUUUUUCGGCUUAACCGGGAAAGGUCGUCGGAUACUGCGGAACUAGAGGACGGUAGAGGCGUGUGGAAUUCCGGGUGUAGCGGUGAAAUGCGUAGAGAUCCGGAGGAACACCAGUGGCGAAGGCGACACGCUGGGCCGUACCUGACACUGAUGCGCGACAGCAUGGGGAGCAAACAGG
rnacentral:rRNA from 1 species